GAGCGCGCGUCUCAAGCCCAGGGGGCGGGGCUGCCCGGCGCCCCCGCGCUGGAGGUCACGGCGCGGCGGGGCGCGGCCAUGGCCCGGCGCGCCGCGGGGGAGGGUCUCCGCGUGUCGCCCGAGAGGCUCGGGAAGAUCUCCCCCGACGCCCCGCGGCCGGCCCCAGAGGCGGCCCCGGCCCGGGAGGCGCUCAUCUCCGCCUGGACCGCUUCGUCCUGCAUCCCUUUCUCUUCCUGUCUCCCUGGGGUCCCCUGGGUCCCUGCCUGCCUCUUCGCGCUCCGAAAAGCCGAGUUUCGCAGAUACUCAGCUCGGAGGAGGACGUUUUGCCGGGAAGUAGGUGCUUUCUUGUUAAGCGGCGGUCGAUCGAUGGGAGGGGCCAGAAGUCGCUAGGUGUCCGGACAAGAUUGUCACUGUCGCUGAGAUCGUCAGCUCUAGUGCUUGGAGGCGGGUGACCUCCUGCAAGCCUAGAACUUUGGGAUUACUUCCGAGCUUGAAGGACGAAAAGGAAUUUACAUGGAUGGGAUAAUGUGCUACUGACCUAUGAUCGUAGGGCCUGUGCUUGAAGUCGCUGUCCGCCCACUGUCUCUAGGACUGGCGCAGCCCCGCCCCCAGACCAAGCCUGGAAGGAAAUUCGCCUUUGGCUAAGAAUGCAGUCAAGCCCUUGAAGACAGUGAUUUCCGAGUUCCUCAUGGGUCUUACUGUAAUUAAGGGAGUGGCCGUCUUAAAUGGAGUCACAGGGAGAGGAAGAGUGUGGGAUCUUCUACCAGAGAAAUGACUUGGUCUUGAAAGGAAGUCCAUGCGGUGGGGACAGUCAAGGCAGAGACCUUCUGGCAUGCGCAGCAGUGUGCCUGCCGCCUGAGACUUGCCCACACGCAGAAGCAAAAGCAAGGGCAACUCGUGCACAAGGCAUGUGAAGCCGACUGAAGCUGCGAAGCUUGAACUCUGGUUCUUGUGGCAGGCCUGCCCCUGCACCUGCCACCUGCUCGGGCGUGGGUGGGGACAGCUGCUUCCUGGAGCUGCCGUGCCCUACGGGAUGGAGCUGGGCCAGGAGCUGAGAAGCCACGCGCAGGGGUCAGUCAGGGACGCCGGGACCGAGCUCUCUCUAGCGUGUACCAGAAAUCCGCUUAGCGGAGCCCAGGCUGCCCGUGUCUACACAGUGAGGAACCCAGGCUCCGCGCAGGGGCGCUACUCCCCCUCAGGGCAGCCCGCGCCCUGUUUGUGCUGCCCUGGCUGUGACCAGGUUCUUUCUUUCGCUGAGCCGCUCAUUUUCCUCUCUUACCUGGCCCGUUCGUCCUACGUCCUCUUACUCUAGAAUCUCAGAAAUAAGGCUAAUCCCUUUUGUUGGGAUUUUAAAGUUUAAUUUACUUGGGAAUGGCUGCCUGGGUUACUUCUAAUCUUUUAAGCUGUUGCAAGAAAGCAUGAAGCAGUGGCAAGAGAUCCACUUAGUAGAUGCAGUGGACAGAGUGCCCGCUGUGGAGGCAAGUUUUGUCUUAAGAUUUGCGGGUCCCUGCGGCCUGCCAGUGAGGCAGCUCGGCCUGCGCCUGCAGAACGACCACCGUUACUCUCUCGGGUCUUAAAGGAAGCCGGGCCUCCAGGUGGGCAGGCGUCUGCUGUAAUAACAACAACAACCAGAAUAAUGAAAAGCCAGCUCGCUGCCCUGCUCCCUGCACCUCCCCACUCCGGAGCGUUUACCUGACUGGUGGAAUGGGACCAGGACCUGCCUUUGAGGUCUCGGGUGUGACCUGGUGCUUCCAGCCCCGAGAUGCGCCGCUGGGUCCACAGAAGGGAGUGGCUGUCCCCGCGGCCACACUGUCCCUCCGCGUGCUCCAUCCUGCGCGGCCCCUGCCCGUGUUCUUCAGCAGCCGUGCCUCCCCCGGUUUUCCCUCUUCCUGCAAUGUCAUCCCUCAGCCAUGGGUGGCCGCUCCACCAUUCUCUUCAUGUUUUUACAGCUUUCUAAAACAUGCCUUUAUUAUCAUUGUAAUGGGGUCUCUUGGGGAGAAAGAGAGAAAUAGGCACUGUCAGCCAGCCAACUCGAACCAGAAACAGUACAUAACGUGUAUAGUCAGUUGUACAAACUUAAAGAAAUUUGAAAAACAGAGAACAAUAAAAAUCUGUAAUUGUAUUACACUCACAGAAAUCUGUGCCUCCAUUUAUUUAUACAUUCAUUCCAGUCACCAGAUAUUAACUAAAUAUCUGUUAUGCUCUAAUCACCAUGCCUUCUAGGGAAUUGAAGUGUAGUAAGGGAAUCGUGGCCAGGUAGAAUAACCACUAAUAAUAUUUUGGUAUAUUUUCAUUGAAGCCUAAUGUUAUAGUAUUUUUUUUUUUGAUGUAUUGCAGUUAUACUGUUUAUUCCGUCUGAUGUCCUUUCUUUUUCUUUUUUUAACUUACAGCACAGUGGGUGUGACAGGAGAGGGCAGAGCUGUUUAUUCCGGGCUCCUGCCCGUCAGGAGUAAGGUUCUGUCUAGCCUGAGUCUGGAGUGUACGCUGUUCCAUAGUUCACGUAGAGGCCGUUCCCUUUCCGCGUCACAGAGCCUGCCUCUGGCUCACCUGUCCCACCUGACAGCUGGCCAUCGGUGCAGUGCAGGUGGGGGUACCACUCCCCGCCCAGCAGGCCUCAGGAAGGUGCUGGUGGAGCUCGCUCUCACCAGGACGGAGGCCAGGCAGGCCGGGUGUCAGUGGGGAGAGGAUUCGCUCUGCCCUGGUCUGGAGCCUGCACAGUGCACAACAGAGGGCUCAUGACCAGGGCCACGGGAGAGUCCCCUGUGGGUGUUUUCUCACCUCCUAGCUCUUCCUCCUGCGUUGCCCACGGUCCUCUUCUUCUACCCCUUCUCCUCCCAGAGUCCUGAUUUUCACAGAAGACGGCUUGUUUUUUUCUGGAACGCCACCUCUCCCUACAGAAAAAGAGGAGGCCUGGUGCGCUUGGUCCCUCUGUGUCUGCCGAUUCUGUAGGCUCAGACAGCCGUUCGGGGUCUAGCUGUAGCCCUCGCCUGGUUCCUGCUCUCCUUGUAGGUAUAAUCAUAUUUUCAUAUAACUAAACUAUGCGCCAGUAAUUUUUUUACUGCAGUGGUUUUUAGUGUAUUCACGAAGUUCUACAACCAUCACCACAAUCUAAUUUUAGAACGUUUCAUCACCCCAGAAAGAAACCACAUACCCACCAGCAGUCACUCCCUAUUUCCCCUCUCCGCUCCAGCCCCCGGCAGCCCCUCAGCCGCUUUCUGUCUCUGUAGAGGGGGCAGGUGCCACGGGGAGGAAGGCGAGCCCCAGGCGGGAGCUGAGCUGCUGCUUCUGAUCUCUGCGUGUCUGCCUUCCCCAGAGUUGGAAGUUACAACUCCUUGCCCCUUUGAAGAUUGAUUUUCUUCCAAAAAUUCCCUUCAGCUCUCCAAAAGAUAUUCACAUGGAGUAUCUAUAAACUUACAUAUACAGCUAAGUUUGAUCUUAUUUUGUACCUUUAAGCUUACUUCUUGUGAGGAAGUAACCAUAGUGCCCAGACGUGCACACACGCGCACACACACCCACCGUGGCCUGAGAUGUUUCAGAGCCUUGUUGUCUGAACUGACGAUGAAGGACACCAUACCUCAAACACUGUCUCCUAAUUCCCCGAUUCCUAGGAUUUUCAGAUCAGGCUGCCAAACCUGUGUCUUGCUGCUUUUAGGUAAGAUAUACAAAAUCCUAGGUAGCAGUGACGAGUGGGAGACAGCAGAAUGAACCGUGGGGAAUGGCGUGGAGGAGACACCCCUCUCUGCCGUGUGCACAGCCAGAACUGAACACCGGGGGACGAGGGGGGUGGCAGCUCAGUGUGGGAGGCUCUUACCAGGGACUUUUUCCAACCAGAGCGUCUUGGCCUCCCCAGCAUCCCACCCCUCAGGAGUGGUCCUUUGUGAUGGCCGAGCGCCCCUUAGCCACCAGUGGCUGUGGGGACUGCCCUGCUGACCAGACAAAGCUGGAGGGGUGUGACUCCUCGUUGUCCUGGGGAGGUAUAUACACGGAGGACAGGACUCCCAAGGUAGACAGUUGAGAGGCUUCAGCAUGGCAAAAGUGCCCGACAAGUCAUGGGAGCCACAAACCACAAGCACCAAGUGGUGGGGAAAGAGGACUGCCUCUCACCACAGAUCCAGAGGAGUAGCAAGGUCAGAUGACCCUACCCACGCUCCUCUCCUUCCCAUGUAUGUCUCUACCCGGCCCCGCCCCCCACCCCUCAGGAUAAUCCUGCCUCUCCUGGUGCGGACCUCCUCCUCAGCUCCCCGCUUCCACUCAGCCGCCAUCCUCUUCUCCCGACCCAGGGCCCUCUGGGCUCACCUUGUUGCCUUGCCAGGUGCUGAAGUUACACAGGAAGGUAACAAGACGACUUCACACGAGUUCAAGAAAAAAAUGCUCUCCUAAAGUUACAGCUCCUUCCAGAAGGCGAAAGAGCAAAAAGGGCCAGCAAGUUUGAGCCAUUGCUGUAGACUGAGCCAAAAGCAGCAGGCCAGGCCCAGCGAAGCCACAGAACGACACCACUCCAAGAUAAGAGCCACGCCAACAGUACCAGCCAAGCAAGCGUCACACCUCCACAGCCCGUUGCACCCGGAGUCCUGGCUGCCGAGAAGGCGCCAGCAUGGGGACUGACUCGGACGCUAACGUGGAACAUGGGACACAAACGGUGGUUAUGAAAAUAAAAUCAGCACAAUGCGAGAAGUCCCUCCGAAAAGUGAAAUAAAAUUAGGCACUCUGCACAGAAACGAAUUGGUGUAUUAUUGUUUGAGAUGGUCCCUCAAAAGGAGAGAGUGAAAUGAUAGAGAGAAGCUCUGCAUCUUUGCGGCAAAGAAGUCCCCGGUCCCCCCACAUCCACCUGAGAAGAAAAUGUAGACACAGCUUACCGAGGGUGGAUAAGUAUCCUUGCCUCCGGAUUCCCCAGCCAUGGCAGACCAAGGUAACAGCUUUUUUGCUUGGUAGUGAGCACUCAUUUUAAACGUGAGAGAAAUCAGCAGAGCACAGCAAUGCCCGUGUACACUCUGAUAGGCUUAGAGGCAAUGGGGAAGGGAAAGGAAGAGAGAAAAAGGAGACCACAAAGUUGUCCCCAGGACGCUCUGACUUUCUCUGUCAUGAUGCAGACUGAGCUGCUCUCUCACUUGGGAAUAAUGAAGUUGGAAGCUGAAGGCCCCUGAGCUUCAUGGCUCCCUCAUCCUCUCUUGGCCUCAUUCUGAGUUGUAACAAGGACAGAGCAGCGCCAGGCCCAGCCGCCAGGAGAGGGUAGUCAUGUGGCCACAUCAAGCAGAGGCCUCCCCGGGUGCUCCUCUCUGGUCUGGUUCUACCUGGGUCCCCAGUGUCACCCUCCCCAUCAAUUGUUCUCCCCUUUACAGCCCAUAAUGGAGCCCGCAGUCUCCCACAGAGGUGGAAAUGGCUGGAACUCCAACCUCUAUAGGUUAGAACAGUGAUGCUCAAAAAAUGAGUUUUGUGUCUUGAAGAGAAUUUGAAAAAUUAUGCACCUCCUUACACAAUUUUAAGUUGACAUCCAAAAUUUUUCAUCAUGAGCUUCAGUAUUUACUGAGGAUAUAAUUUCUAAUUUAUUAUGAACAUUGAUAUUUAAGAUAAAACUAUUGCAUCAGUCUUUCUUUUUUAAUUUACAGUCUGAUGUAUCUUUUUGUCCAGAUAAAUUCCACUCCACUUUGCUAUGAGAUGAGAGGGGUGCCACCAGACAGGGGUACCAUUUGACCUGUAUUUUUCUUGCGAAGCUUUGAAUCUGCUCAAGUAUUUAACAAGCACGUGGUUGAGUUUCAGUUCUUUGCUGUGUGAGUGAGAUUUCUGUAUACUUUUAAAGGCUGUUAAUUAUCUGACAGUGGCCUGAACCAUCAUGACAAAUGCCCAUCUGACCCGUGUGGCCUUUAUGCCUGUGGGACGGCUUCUCUGUGCACCGCACCCCAGCAGCGGAGCGAACAAACUGACAUCAUGCUGUCGCUUCACAGUGUUCACUUUGAAGACCGCACGUCCAGUGUUGUAUGGCAUCUUUUGUGAACAGGAAUGUCCUGACCAUGUCUUGCUAGCGAAAAAUACGACUCAGGUGUAUUUAUAGAGAUUUGCUGAAAUUUAAAAUCCUUGUGGCGUAACACUGAAAACAGUCUCUCCUGUGUUACUUUUGGGGUCCUUCCAUGUCUUUUUGCUAAAUUUAAAACAAGUCCCUUUGUCACUGGAAAUAUGGAUACACAGGAAACUGAUGGCAUUAGUUGCUUCUGGUAAGAGGAACUGAGUGGCUGGGACAGGUGCAGGAGAGAAACUUCUGUUGUCUAUCCUCUGCUAUCGAAUUUUAAGCCAUGUGAAUGCACUGCUUAUUCAAAUUUAAAAUGUAAUUUAAAAGACAGCAUUAACUAGUUAAUUAUGUAAUAACUUUAAAAAAGACUCUGCUUGCCGGAAUUGUAAUAAGAUGUAUUUAUUUUGGUUUUCGAUCAUUAAAAUGUCUCUGUAGUUCUUGAA